rnacentral:lncRNA from 1 species
AAGGUAUGCACUAUUGCCAUAAUGGUUCAAGUAAAGACCUUGAAUUGUCUCAAACAUCUUCUAGCUAAAAAGCCAACAAUUGGCCCAACAUGACCGAUUCCUUUUGACUAAGAGCAUCUACAACUACAUUACCCUUAUCAAGAUAGUACAAGAUCUUGUAGUCGUAGUCUUUUAAGAGAUUCAUCCAACACCUUUGCCUCAUGUUCAACUCCUUCUGGGAAAAUAAAUACUUCAGCCUUUUGUGAUCAGUGUACAUUUUAAAAGUCUGACUAUAUAAAUAGUAGCACCAUAUCUUUAAGGCAACGAUAAUGGCGGCAAGCUAGAGGUC